rnacentral:lncRNA from 1 species
UAACUGCCGAGGGUAUUACUUCCCACCUCAGAGGCGCCUGGUGUUUUUGGAGUGGCUGCACGGUCAGGGCUAUAGUGGGCACCAUGGGAGUCGGCUCACAGCCCUGCAGUUCCUCUGGAGUCAGGGUGCUGAGGCAGUGGUGGCAGUGAGGGGGCUGGAUGAAUCUGCAGAAAAGGCUCUGGGGACAAUUUGGAUUCCCUUUAACUGGAACAGAGACAAGGUGAUGCAGACAGAAAACAUUGUAUAUUUAAGCCUGGUCCCAAUAUCCCUCCAACCUUCACUGCCUUCAGCGAGGACCAUGUUGGAAGCAGGUAGUCCUGAGGACACACGGCUCCAGCUGGAAAUAACAAAUGUUCAAGUAAAGCUGAAACCUUUUACCUUUCUACUAUUGUGCCUUGGGAUUUCAUAAUAAUUCUGGAUGUUGAAACAGAAUAGAAAUGUUCUGUUGAGAACUGACAGGGAGGUUUGAAGAUAUUUGGGUAGUAUCUUGGCCUUUGACCUUACCGCAGACUAGAAGUGAUGGAAAGAAAAGAGGUACCAGAUGAUCGGUGAGACAAGAUGGCAGUCCCCUCACACCUUUAUGAGGUGAUCCUGGCCUGUAGAAGCCCAGUUUCUACAGAACUAAUGCCACUAGGGGCCUUUGUGAUACCCAGUGGAGGCACUGGCUUCUAGUCCUAGUUAAUUGGAUUCCAAGUGAGCCUCUGGGACCUAGAGAAGUUGUCAGAACUGAUGUUUUUUCCUUGUUUGGAUAGAAUUAGUGAUGUCAGAAAUAUCUCCUCUGUGGACACUUGUAAGCACCUGGAUUUCUAGGAGUUCACUCUACCUGAGCACAAGAAAGAUUGAGGAAGCCAGAUCAGUGGACACACUGGAAAAAUUCCUGGAAAAUUUGAAGAAUGCAGGGAUUGAACCAGAUGAUUACUUCAUGAGUCUCUGUGAGAAGAAACUAGAAGAACUCAAAGCUAAGGAGCAGUCAGGAACCCAGACAAGAAAGCCAUUC